CUCAGGUCAAGGCUGGGCCUGGAGGUCCUGGGCACUGGCUCUUGCAUAGUCUCCUUUCUGUCCCUGAUGGGAGGCGCAGAAGAAGAGCUAAGGAUUCCUCUGAGUGGUGCUGGCCGAGGGGAAAGGGACCUUCCCCUGGCCCCCCAGGGGCUCUGCUUACGCCCAGCUCACCUGUGUCCGUGGUCCCUGCCACCUCACUCUGCUCCUCUGUCCGGCCCCAGGACGGCUCUGUUCUAAACACAUCCCCACCGCUGCCAGAGGAGCCCAGCCGAGCCCCACCGGACGACAGGAAGGACCUCCCGUGGGGGGCCCAGUUUGAGCUGCCACCCAUGCUGCUGGACACGGACAGGGAUGGUUACACGUCAUCAAAAGCCACGCCAUCGAAAACACCGGGAACGCAAGACUCCCUCCUCCCCCCGCCCUCCCUCCGCAUCCUGCUGACGCCUCCGGCUCGCGAGGUGACAGAGAAGCUUCCGGUGCCCUCCGUGGAGUCUGUGGCUGGGGACCAGCUGCCCCCCGUACCACUUCUGUCGUCAAAGUCAUCGGGAAAAAGCUUCCUCCCUGCUGUGCCUGCGGCCUCGAAGAUAAGACCCAGCCUCAGUUUUCACGCAGAUGAGACCACGCACCACGCGCCGGAGGUCAGCUUCACCUUCCCCAGCGCCACCUGGCAGAGCAGCACAGGCCCCAGCAGGGCGCCCCUCCGGCCCCGGGACAUCCGAGGUCAGUGCCUGCCGCCCCCAGACACGCAGCCCUGCAUCUGUCAGGGCAGUGAAGGCAAAGCGCGAGGCCCUCAGAGCUGAGCACACACGCUGUCACUGGGGGAACUGUGACACCACUGCCCGUGCCCUUCAGACCUGACUGACUGUCGGGUGCCCAGCACCAGCUGUGAGGGCUGGACACCAAGACACGUUUACCUCAGACGCCACCCCGCACUCGCCCCUCCCUGAGAAGGGGUGACUGCAUCGCCUGUCCCUCAGACACGACUGCUCUCGACACGUCCACGCACCUGAAGCUGUGACAGCAAGCACGUGCCCUCACACAUGGCCGCGCCCACCUCACGCCCCCUCUAAGGAGGCCGAGCAAAGAGUGCGCUGUACCUCACAGGGACCGGUUAUCCCGAGUCUCCUCACUGAGGGGGCAGGGAGAGCAAAAGCACUUCGACUCCAGACACGACUGAAAUCAAGAGCUUCCACACCCGAGGAGGAGGUGAGAGCAGGGCACGUUUGCCUCAGACACGAAGCAUAUCAGAAGCUUCUUCACACGAGGGUGCUGGGAGAGCGCCGCACGUGGUUUGCAGACGUGACCCGUCAGCACAGGUCCCUUCACCUGACGGGGAUGUCACCGCAUCACACAUGUUCCUCACCCCAGACAAGUCACCACGUGGCUCCUCACUUGGGAAGCCCCUGGCAGCGCUGCACGCGUACCUCAGACACAUCUGACAUCAACAGCUUCCUCACCUGAGGAGGCUGUGCGCGCACGUACAUUUACCUCAGAUGGACCCACACAAAGCAGCUUCACCUGAGGAGGCCGUGAGGGCCUGGCGCAGGAUCCGCAGACAGGACCACCCGCCACACAGGUGGUCUUUCCUUUUGUCGUUGGUCUUUUGGGGGCUGCACCCGAGGCAUAUGGAGGUUCCCAGGCUAGGGGUCUAACUGGAGCUGUAGCCGCCGGCCUGCACCACAGCCCGAGCAACGCGGGAUCCUUAACCCCCUGAGCCAGGCCAGGGAUCAAACCCGCCACCUCAUGGUUCCUGGUCGGCUUCGCUUCUGCUGCGCCAACAGAACUCCUCACCACAGGUCU
ensembl:lncRNA